UAAUGCAUAAUAGAUACAAAUAUAACCAUCAAUUUUAUAUUUAGCACUGAAGAAGCUCAAGAUAACCCUAGCGUUUGCCGGAAUGUAGUUCACUCGCCGAAGACGAGGGUUAAAGAGCGCAUAACAGCAAAUUUGCAUGUAACUUACUACGAUGCAAAUGGGAUCGACAUGACUGAAGAGACCGACGAGCGUAAACCCGCAGCGAAAUCCAGCCGCGAGCAACAACGCCUUCAACCGUUUUCCAGUUACGCCGAGGAAAAUCAAGUUUUAAGAUCAUUAUGAUGCAUAAGUCACACCUGACAUAAACUCAUUGAGAAAAA